AGAGGUCAACUAGAGCUUCCACCUGCUAGUAAAAGUGCUGUCUAUGAAGAAUAAGUCUUAAUACAUGAAAGAGUCAACUUCAUGAAAUGGCAAGAGAGAUGGUGUUGAAAGUAAAUGAACCACAGACAUAAAGGUAGGACACUCAUCACAGCCUGUGGCAUACGUUUAUCUGGACAACCGACUGUGACCUUCUUAGAGACAAAAUACUUUCAUAUCUAUGUUUGAAACUCCUCAAUGUCUACCCUCCUCCAAAUGCUUGCAUAUAAUAAGCACUCAAUAAAUGUUUUGUGAAUUGA